CCUACGGGUGGCAGCAGUGAGGAAUAUUGGUCAAUGGGCGGAAGCCUGAACCAGCCAAGUAGCGUGCGGGAUGAAGGCCCUACGGGUCGUAAACCGCUUUUGCACGGGGAUAACACCCUCCACUUGUGGAGGUCUGCAGGUACCGUGCGAAUAAGGGCCGGCUAAUUCCGUGCCAGCAGCCGCGGUAAUACGGAAGGCCCGAGCGUUAUCCGGAUUCAUUGGGCUUAAAGGGAGCGUAGGCGGGCGUUCAAGUCAGCUGUAAAAUUGCGCGGCUCAACCGCGCCCCGAAGUUGAGAAUGGCAGCCGUGAGUACAGAAGAGGAAGGCGGAAUUCGUGGUGGAGCGGGGAAAUGCUUAGAGAUGACGAGGA
rnacentral:rRNA from 1 species